CAGCAGCCACGGGAAUACGUAGGGUGCAAGCGUUAAUCGGAAUUACUGGGCGUAAAGCGUGCGCAGGCGGUUUGUUAAGACAGAUGUGAAAUCCCCGGGCUCAACCUGGGAACUGCAUUUGUGACUGGCAAGCUAGAGUAUGGCAGAGGGGGGUGGAAUUCCGCGUGUAGCAGUGAAAUGCGUAGAUAUGCGGAGGAACACCGAUGGCGAAGGCAGCCCCCUGGGCCAAUACUGACGCUCAUGCACGAAAGCGUGGGGAGCAAACAGGAUUAGAUACCCCUGUAGUCCCUGUCUCUUAUAC
rnacentral:rRNA from 1 species